AGCAGCCGCGGUAAUUCCAGCUCCAAUAGCGUAUAUUAAAGUUGUUGCAGUUAAAAAGCUCGUAGUUGAAUUUCGAGAUCAAAUUGUUGGUCGUGCCUUGGUACGCACUGGCAUUAUUGGUUUCUCCCUUCUGACGAAUCAUGAUGUCAUUAAUUUGGUGUCUUGGGGAAUCAGGACUGUUACUUUGAAAAAAUUAGAGUGUUUAAAGCAGGCUCACGCUUGAAUACAUUAGCAUGGAAUAAUGAAAUAGGACGUUUGAUUCUAUUUUGUUGGUUUCUAGGAUCGACGUAAUGAUUAAUAGGGAUAGUUGGGGGCAUUAGUAUUCAAUUGUCAGAGGUGAAAUUCUUGGAUUUAUUGAAGACUAACUACUGCGAAAGCAUUUGCCAAGGAUGUUUUCAUUAAUCAAGAACGAAAGUUAGGGGAUCGAAGACGAUCAGAUACCGUCGUAGUCUUAACCAUAAACUAUGCCGACUAGGGAUCGGAUGAUGUUAAUUUUUUAAUGACUCAUUCGGCGCCUUACG
rnacentral:rRNA from 1 species